CCCGGAGGCGGACUGGAGCCCCCCCGGACUGGAGCCCCCCCGGACUGGACCCCCGGAGGCCGACUGGACCCCCGGAGGCCGACUGGACCCCCGGAGGCGUGGACCAGAGGCUGAGGCUGGAAGGACCAGGUUGGACCAGGUACCGAAGCUGGAGACCAGAGAAAUGCCACACGGGAUCGGACCAGAGGGAACCUCAGAUGCAGAAGGUGUCGAGUGUGGCAGCUACACCUGGGAUUCCUGGCUGACGGAGGAGUCGUGCUGGAGGAGGUCCUGCCUGGUGGAGGCGGUCCAUCGUGGGGCAGAUGGAGCCUGACUCUAACGCCAGGACUCUGUGGCGUGGAGGAGCUGGGACUCCUGAGGACAGCCAGGACUCCACCAACAAGGAUUCCUCGACAUGAGCUGGACCAGAGAACCGCUGGUGGGGAGCCGUAGAUCUGGAGGAAGACCAUGACUCUACCAGCAAGUAUUCCAUAGGAAUUACAUAACAGGGUGGCCUUAAAGGGCAAACUACUGCUGUUACUACAAGUUAUGCCAAACGACAUGUUUAAUCAAAUGUUGUAGCCAGACCUCCGCCGUGUUUGUUACAGAC